rnacentral:rRNA from 1 species
GAUGAACGCUGGCGGCGUGCUUAACACAUGCAAGUCGAACGGAAAGGCCCUGCUUUUGUGGGGUGCUCGAGUGGCGAACGGGUGAGUAACACGUGAGUAACCUGCCCUUGACUUUGGGAUAACUUCUGGAAACUGGGGCUAAUACCGGAUAGGAGCUCCUGCUGCAUGUUGGGGAUUGGAAAGUUUCGGCGGUUGGGGAUGGGCUCGCGGCUUAUCAGCUUGUUGGUGGGGUAGUGGCUUACCAAGGCUUUGACGGGUAGCCGGCCUGAGAGGGUGACCGGCCACAUUGGGACUGAGAUACGGCCCAGACUCCUACGGGAGGCAGCAGUGGGGAAUAUUGCACAAUGGGCGGAAGCCUGAUGCAGCAACGCCGCGUGCGGGAUGACGGCCUUCGGGUUGUAAACCGCUUUCGCCUGUGACGAAGCGUGAGUGACGGUAAUGGGUAAAGAAGCACCGGCUAACUACGUG